rnacentral:rRNA from 1 species
ACUCCUACGGGAGGCAGCAGUGGGGAAUAUUGGACAAUGGACGAAAGUCUGAUCCAGCGACGCCGCGUGGAGGAAGAAGUCCUUCGGGAUGUAAACUCAUGAAGCUAACGAAUAAGACGGAAGGGGAACCUUCCGGGAGAAGGUAAUUAGUGAAAAGCCCCGGCUAACUACGUGCCAGCAGCCGCGGUAAU